GUGCUCGCUUCGGCAGCACAUAUACUAAAAUUGGAACGAUACAGAGAAGAUUAGCAUGGCCCCUGCGCAAGGAUGAUCUUAGGGUCAUGAGAUCAAGCCAUGCAUUU